rnacentral:tRNA from 2 species
GGAGGGCUGACAGAGCGGCCUAAUGUGACGGUCUUGAAAACCGUUGUCCCGCAAGGGACCGGGGGUUCGAAUCCCUCGCCCUCCGCCA